UAGUGCAUCUUUGAUCAUGGAAAUUUGGUUGCAAGCUUUUCCCUUUUGUUCUUUUUAGUUUUGCUUUCUAACUCUCUAUAUAUGUGUGCAUGUAUAAUAAGGAUGUACUACAGGUAUGGAGGUACUUUGAAAUGUACCUACGAUGCAAGUUUGUUGGUUUUGGUGCACGGAUCUUGAUUUAUUGGAACCAAAUACUGUGUUUUUCUCUCCUUGAUCAACUUUGUGUUUCCUUGUUUGGAUCCAACUUGUAUAGGAUAAGUAAAAAAACAAAUUAAUCAUUUGUGUAUUGCAAGGUUUUGUAAUUUUAAACUCAGAUCCGCCCCCACUUAUGCUCCUCUUCCACCCACACCAUAUAUAUAUCAUCGUCUUCAUCAUCAAGGGAAAUAUUGGAGGAGGGAUAUACAGAAGAGCAAGAUAUGGACCAAGGAGGCUACAGAUUGGUGUUACCUGAAGAUGGAUAUGAAUGGAGAAAGUACGGCCAAAAGUUCAUCAAAAAUAUUGGUAAAAUGAGAAGUUAUUUCAAGUGCCAAAGGAGCAGUUGUUCUGCAAAAAAGAGAGCUGAGUGGUCAACCUCAGAACCCAACAAUCUUAAAGUAGUAUAUAAGGGGGUGCACAACCAUGCCUUACCAGCAUCAGAAUCUAGCUCCUCUCAGCUAGGGACUUCUUCGAAUGCCAACCAAUAUGACUUGUUGACACAAGUCUUUGGAGAUCGAUCAACUGCUCAUUAAUUAUCAUGACAAUUGAAGUACUAGUUCUGCUUAUUACUAUGCUUUCUAAGAGACCUUUUUCUCUUCCCUUGGAGAAAGCCUUGCCAGUUAAGAACAAUGAAGGUUAAAUUUAUGAUAUUUUAAUUCACUGGAACAUGGGUUUUCUUCAAUCUGUUUGUAAAUAUUUUUGAUAUAUAUCCUAAAAAAAGUAUCCUCCUUUUUCCAGUC